AUGCCCUACGGGAGGCAGCAGUGGGGAAUAUUGGGCAAUGGGCGCAAGCCUGACCCAGCAACGCCGCGUGAAGGAAGAAGGCUUUCGGGUUGUAAACUUCUUUUCUCAGGGACGAAGCAAGUGACGGUACCUGAGGAAUAAGCCACGGCUAACUACGUGCCAGCAGCCGCGGUAAUACGUAGGUGGCAAGCGUUAUCCGGAUUUACUGGGUGUAAAGGGCGUGUAGGCGGGGACGCAACUCAGAUGUGAAAACCACGGGCUCAACCUGUGGCCUGCAUUUGAAACU
rnacentral:rRNA from 1 species